rnacentral:lncRNA from 1 species
AUCUCCAUUUGACAAUAAUGGAAAUUGUCAGAAAUUUUCAUUUUCUCACAAUUUAGCUCACUCACAAUGGCUGUCAGACAGCCGGAUGAUCUGACGCAGCGCACUGCUAAUCGUUUCAGCAGAAGACAGUGUUUCAAACAGCUUGUGAAGUCUGUAGCUAAAUCUCAGGAACAGAAAUGUUGAGAAGGGUAGACUGAUGACUACCCCUCAGUGGAAACAGACCAGAUCUCAGCUUAUCUGGCUGGAAGGAAAGCAAAAAAACAAAGCAAAACCAACCAAAAAAUCCUAAGAAACAAAAGACAGAUUCAAGCCAAUCUGUGAUUUGUAAAAUAAGCCAGGUGCAGGCUUGGGUGCCUUCAGCUGAAUGUAAGAAGUCCAGCUAUCAUGAAGUCUCCAUGUGGACAGACAAUUCAGAGGAAUGAGAGAGAGAGAGACCUGAGCAGCUAGCAGUGCCAGCACCUAGAUGUUUGAAUCUUCCCAGCCCAGAUACAUGAUGGAAAAAACUUCAAGAUGCCCAUUGGACAGCAACCACAUGAAAGACCUGGAGUGAGAACUCCUAAGCUGAGAUCUCACUCUUUCAGACUCCAGAGCCAAAUAAAUAAUUAUUAAUGUUUAAGCCACACAGCUUCCUACCAAAGAUGCAAAAGACUCUUUCUCCUCAGCUUAUAUUUAGAAAAAUCCCUAAGGAUACACCCUGAUGGGCCUUGGGUCAUUUCGCCACCUUCUUUGGUCAACCAUUAUGACCAGACAGUCGGGGGUUGUGACUGGCACAAAAGGAGCAAGAUCUGUUUCUAGAAGAGAUACUGGGCCACAUGGUGACUUGGAUUUUUAAGGGUUACACACAUGAGGCAACUACAAUCCAGAGGAAUUUGUGACUAUCCUCAGAGGCCACAGCCAUUGAUGCCUCUUUCACUCUGCCCAUUAUGUCCCACUGAACAGCUUGGGUGUCAGAGCCAGCCAUUUUGCUCUGUGAGGAAGUAAUUUUGCAGUUAAAUUGGACCUGGUUGCAUUUUCUAGUCUCUGCUUUCUCCAAAUAUCCCAGUACUUAGUUUUUGCUCUGGUUGAAAAAAAAAAAAAAAAAAAAAAAAAAAAAAAAAAAAAACCUACACUAAUGGAUUAAACAACCAUUUGGAAAAGACAGGAUUUUUUCUUAAACUUUUUUGAGGUAAUUUUGGAAAGGAUCAUUCAAAUUAACGUAUGUGAAGCACCUAACAUAACAGACCCUUGGUAAAUGGUAGCAAAGAAGAUUGUGAUCAUUAGGAGCUCCUGAGAGAGGGCAGGUGCCACAGGAAGGGAUUGGACCAGAUCAACAUUUCAGUGUCUUCUGAGGAUUAUAAUUUCUGGAAGUUGCUCCCAGAUGGGGGACAACUUUCAACCUACGGUCAAAUAAAUAUUGCUUAGAAACUCU